GUGCCAGCAGCCGCGGUAAUACAGAGGGUGCAAGCGUUGUUCGGAAUUAUUGGGCGUAAAGGGAGUGUAGGCGGCUAGGAAAGUCUUCUGUGAAAUCUACGGGCUCAGCCUGUAACGUGCAGAGGAAACUAUCUGGCUAGAGUGUCGGAGAGGAUAGGGGAAUACCCAGUGUAGAGGUGAAAUUCGUAGAGAUUGGGUGGAACACCAGUGGCGAAGGCGCCUGUCUGGCUGACAACUGACGCUGAGACUCGAAAGCAUGGGGAGCAAACAGGAUUAGAAACCCGCGUAGUCC
rnacentral:rRNA from 1 species